rnacentral:tRNA from 2 species
UCCCUGGUGGUCCAGUGGCUAAGACACUGCACUCCCAAUGCAGGGGUCCCCGGUUCGAUCCCUGGUCAGGGAA